rnacentral:piRNA from 1 species
GAGAAAAGCGUCCUUUGGGCAGAACCCACUC